UACGGAGGAUCCAAGCGUUAUCCGGAUUUAUUGGGUUUAAAGGGUGCGUAGGUGGCUUUUUAAGUCAGGGGUGAAAGACGGUAGCUUAGCUAUCGCAGUGCCUUUGAUACUGAAGAGCUUGAAUGAACUAGAGGUAGGCGGAAUGUGACAAGUAGCGGUGAAAUGCAUAGAUAUGUCACAGAACACCAAUUGCGAAGGCAGCUUACUAUGGUUUUAUUGACACUGAGGCACGAAAGCGUGGGGAUCAAACAGG
rnacentral:rRNA from 1 species